GACGAACGCUGGCGGCGCGCUUAACACAUGCAAGUCGAACGGAAAGGCCCUGCUUUUGUGGGGUGCUCGAGUGGCGAACGGGUGAGUAACACGUGAGUAACCUGCCCUUGACUUUGGGAUAACUUCAGGAAACUGGGGCUAAUACCGGAUAGGAGCUCCUGCUGCAUGGUGGGGGUUGGUAAGUUUCGGCGGUUGGGGAUGGACUCGCGGCUUAUCAGCUUGUUGGUGGGGUAGUGGCUUACCAAGGCUUUGACGGGUAGCCGGCCUGAGAGGGUGACCGGCCACAUUGGGACUGAGAUACGGCCCAGACUCCUACGGGAGGCAGCAGUGGGGAAUAUUGCACAAUGGGCGGAAGCCUGAUGCAGCAACGCCGCGUGCGGGAUGACGGCCUUCGGGUUGUAAACCGCUUUCGCCUGUGACGAAGCGUGAGUGACGGUAAUGGGUAAAGAAGCACCGGCUAACUACGUG
rnacentral:rRNA from 1 species